GCAGCCGGGCGGUCCGUCGCGGUCCUCACGGGCCAAGGCCCGGCGGGGGCUGAGGAAAGUCCGGGCAACGCAGAGCACCAUACUUUCUAACGGAAAGCCGCGGGCGACCGCAGAGACAACGUGACAGAAAACAACCGCCCUCCCCUUUCAGCGGGGAGAGCAAGGGUGAAAAGGCGGGGUAAGAGCCCACCGGGCGCCACCGCGAGAUGGCGUGCCGCACGUCUUAUGGGUUGCAAGGUCAAGUAUACCGGCAUCUAAGGGCUGCUCGUCCAUUGCCGGGGGGUAGACUGCAGCGGAGCUGAAGCUACGUCAGCGUCCGUGGCAACACGGCGCGAAGAUAAAUGACGGACAGCGUCUCCCUUUGAGGCGCCACAUAACCCGGCUUACACCCCGACUGCCUCU
rnacentral:RNase_P_RNA from 1 species